CAGGCCUAACACAUGCAAGUCGAGCGGACUUAUCCUUCGGGAUAGGUUAGCGGCGGACGGGUGAGUAACACGUAGGCAACCUGCCUGUAAGAUCGGGAUAACUACCGGAAACGGUAGCUAAGACCGGAUAGCUGGUUUCUCCGCAUGGGGGAAUCAUGAAACAUGGGGCAACCUAUGGCUUACGGAUGGGCCUGCGGCGCAUUAGCUAGUUGGUGGGGUAAUGGCCCACCAAGGCGACGAUGAGUAGCCGACCUGAGAGGGUGAUCGGCCACACUGGGACUGAGACACGGCCCAGACUCCUACGGGAGGCAGCAGUAGGGAAUCUUCCGCAAUGGGCGCAAGCCUGACGGAGCAACGCCGCGUGAGUGAUGAAGGUUUUCGGAUCGUAAAGCUCUGUUGCCAAGGAAGAACGCCUCGGAGAGUAACUGCUCUGAGGGUGACGGUACUUGAGAAGAAAGCCCCGGCUAACUACGUGCCUGCAGCCGCGGUAAUACGUAGGGGGCAAGCGUUGUCCGGAAUUAUUGGGCGUAAAGCGCGCGCAGGCGGUCUUUUAAGUUUGGUGUUUAAGCCCGGGGCUCAACCCCGGUUCGCACUGAAAACUGGGAGACUUGAGUGCAGGAGAGGAAAGCGGAAUUCCACGUGUAGCGGUGAAAUGCGUAGGGAUGUGGAGGAACACCAGUGGCGAAGGCGGCUUUCUGGACUGUAACUGACGCUGAGGCGCGAAAGCGUGGGGAGCAAACAGGAUUAGAU
rnacentral:rRNA from 1 species